AGUCACUGACAUUAGAUACCCGUGUAGUCCAGGGUGUAAACGCUGCAGACUUGGUGUGGGCCCUUUGGGGGCAUUCAGUGCCGGAGAGAAGUUGUUAAGUCUGCUACUUGGGAGUACGUCCGCAAGGAUGAAACUUAAAGGAAUUGGCGGGGGAGCACCGCAACGGGAGGAGCGUGCUGUUUAAUUGGAUUCAACACCGUAAAACUCACCAGGGAAGACUGUUACAUGAAAGCCGAGAUGAAGACUCUGCUAGAUUUUCAG
rnacentral:rRNA from 1 species